UUGCACGCUGGCGGCAUGCCUUACACAUGCAAGUCGCACGGCAGCGCGGACUUCGGUCUGGCGGCGAGUGGCGAACGGGUGAGUAAUACAUCGGAACGUACCCUGUUGUGGGGGAUAACUAGUCGAAAGAUUAGCUAAUACCGCAUACGACCUGAGGGUGAAAGUGGGGGACCGCAAGGCCUCACGCAGCAGGAGCGGCCGAUGUCUGAUUAGCUAGUUGGUGGGGUAAAGGCCCACCAAGGCGACGAUCAGUAGCUGGUCUGAGAGGAGGAUCAGCCACACUGGGACUGAGACACGGCCCAGACUCCUACGGGAGGCAGCAGUGGGGAAUUUUGGACAAUGGGGGCAACCCUGAUCCAGCAAUGCCGCGUGUGUGAAGAAGGCCUUCGGGUUGUAAAGCACUUUUGUCCGGAAAGAAAUCGCGCUGGUUAAUACCUGGCGUGGAUGACGGUACCGGAAGAAUAAGCACCGGCUAACUACGUG
rnacentral:rRNA from 1 species